UAACUGGAAUUUAUCAAAUUAUAUUGCACACAUAAUCAUGGCUUUGAAAUCACCCCUCGCCAAGAGGGGUUUAGCCACUCAUAUUUACAACAAAACGAAAGGAAAUGAAUUUAAACAUUAGAAACAAAAGAAAGAAAACACAUAAACACUCCAACGAUCCAAGUUGGACAGCAAGCACGUCCAAGCACUUUCCUUCCCUUCCUUUGCUACAGCACAAGGUGUUGGUGAGUGUUUGAAGGUUUGUUUGUAUGGAGGAAUGGAUGUGAAGAUGAAUGGAUGUGUUUGGAUGAAGGUUGUGUUGAAAUGGGAGUAAAUGAUCUAACCAAGUAUGAACUAAAUUUAUGUUACACACACUUCGUUUUAUAGAGGAAGUGCAUGGCAAUGGAGGGGAACAUGGAGUGGUGUAGCAAUUGAGUGCAAUGAUGCA
rnacentral:lncRNA from 1 species